CCUACGGGUGGCAGCAGUGGGGGAUAUUGCACAAUGGGGGAAACCCUGAUGCAGCGACGCCGCGUGAGUGAAGAAGUAUUUCGGUAUGUAAAGCUCUAUCAGCAGGGAAGAAAAUGACAGUACCUGACCAAGAAGCCCCGGCUAACUACGUGCCAGCAGCCGCGGUAAUACGUAGGGGGCAAGCGUUAUCCGGAUUUACUGGGUGUAAAGGGAGCGUAGACGGUUAUGUAAGUCUGGAGUGAAAGCCCGGGGCCCAACCCCGGGACUGCUUUGGAAACUGUGUAACUGGAGUACAGGAGGGGCAGGCGGAAUUCCUGGUGUAGCGGUGAAAUGCGUAGAUAUCAGGAGGAACACCGGCGGCGAAGGCAGCUUGCUGCAGCGGAACUGACGCUGAUGCUCGAAAGCGCGGGUAUCGAACAGGAUUAGAUACCCUAGUAGUC
rnacentral:rRNA from 1 species